UGGGGAAUUGUUCACAAUGGGCGCAAGCCUGAUGACGCAACGCCGCGUGGGGGAUGAAGGUCUUCGGAUCGUAAACCCCUGUCGAAUGGGACGAAUAGCCCGCGAAUUAAUACCUCGUGGGAAUGACGGUACCGUUAAAGGAAGCCACGGCUAACUCUGUGCCAGCAGCCGCGGUAAUACAGAGGUGGCAAGCGUUGUUCGGAAUUACUGGGCGUAAAGGGCGCGUAGGCGGCCAUCUAAGUCAGACGUGAAAUCCCCCGGCUCAACCUGGGAACUGCGUCUGAUACUGGGAGGCUAGAGUUUGGGAGAGGGAUGUAGAAUUCCAGGUGUAGCGGUGAAAUGCGUAGAUAUCUGGAGGAAUACCGGUGGCGAAGGCGGCAUCCUGGACCAAUACUGACGCUGAGGCGCGAAAGCUAGGGGAGCAAACGGGAUUAGAUACCCCUGUAGUCCCUGAGCGGGCUGGCAAGGCGCAU
rnacentral:rRNA from 1 species